rnacentral:rRNA from 1 species
UACAGAGGGGGCAAGCGUUAUUCGGAAUUAUUGGGCGUAAAGAGCGUGUAGGCGGCCCGGUAAGUCCGCUGUGAAAGUCGGGGGCUCAACCCUCGAAUGCCGGUGGAUACUGUCGGGCUAGAGUGCGGAAGAGGCGAGUGGAAUUCCUGGUGUAGCGGUGAAAUGCGCAGAUAUCAGGAGGAACACCAAUUGCGAAGGCAGCUCGCUGGGACGUAACUGACGCUGAGACGCGAAAGCGUGGGGAGCAAACAGG